UUAACUCCGGAUCUAUUAUGC
rnacentral:miRNA from 1 species